rfam:Eucalyptus grandis cultivar BRASTZ1 unplaced genomic scaffold scaffold_9, whole genome shotgun sequence.
GUUCAUCGAUGAUGACAAUUCGAAGGCUUGUUUCUCAAAGAACAUUCGCAGUGGCCGCCUAAGAGCUUUCGCCUUCGCCAGGCUUGAGAGCUGAUGCUGCUAUAUUCCUUCCUUGGAUGUCUGAGACC